rnacentral:RNase_P_RNA from 1 species
GCGUUUGGGUAAUCGCUGCAUGCUUGUCAUGUAGAGGAAAGUCCAUGCUCGCACAGGCUGCGAUGCCUGUAGUGUUCGUGCCUAGUGAAUUCAUAAGCUAGGGCAGCCAAGGAUCUUGGCUGACGGCAGGGAAACGACCUAAGUCCUCUGGAUAUGGUCCGAAUACCUUGAAAGUGCCACAGUGACGGAGUCCAACUAGAAAUGGUUGGAGUGGAACGAGGUAAACCCCACGAGCGAGAAACCCAAAUUAUGGUAGGGGCGUGUUCUCUAAGGAAUUGAACGAUGAGAACGACAGAUGAUGUUUCAUCUGUAGAUAGAUGAUUACCACCUGAGUACGAGACACUUAGUCAGUCGCUUGGAGUACGAUGGUACAAAACAUGGCUUACAAAA